rnacentral:rRNA from 1 species
GACGAACGCUGGCGGCGUGCUUAACACAUGCAGGUCGAACGGAAAGGCCCUGCUUUUGUGGGGUGCUCGAGUGGCGAACGGGUGAGUAACACGUGAGUAACCUGCCCUUGACUUUGGGAUAACUUCAGGAAACUGGGGCUAAUACCGGAUAGGAGCUCCUGCUGCAUGGUGGGGGUUGGAAAGUUUCGGCGGUUGGGGAUGGACUCGCGGCUUAUCAGCUUGUUGGUGGGGUAGUGGCUUACCAAGGCUUUGACGGGUAGCCGGCCUGAGAGGGUGACCGGCCACAUUGGGACUGAGAGACGGCCCAGACUCCUACGGGAGGCAGCAGUGGGGAAUAUUGCACAAUGGGCGGAAGCCUGAUGCAGCAACGCCGCGUGCGGGAUGACGGCCUUCGGGUUGUAAACCGCUUUCGCCUGUGACGAAGCGUGAGUGACGGUAAUGGGUAAAGAAGCACCGGCUAACUACGU